rnacentral:rRNA from 1 species
UGGGGAAUAUUGGACAAUGGGCGCAAGCCUGAUCCAGCAAUGCCGCGUGAGUGAUGAAGGCCUUAGGGUUGUAAAGCUCUUUCGCACGCGACGAUGAUGACGGUAGCGUGAGAAGAAGCCCCGGCUAACUUCGUGCCAGCAGCCGCGGUAAUACGAAGGGGGCUAGCGUUGUUCGGAAUUACUGGGCGUAAAGGGCGCGUAGGCGGCCUGUUUAGUCAGAAGUGAAAGCCCCGGGCUCAACCUGGGAAUAGCUUUUGAUACUGGCAGGCUUGAGUUCCGGAGAGGAUGGUGGAAUUCCCAGUGUAGAGGUGAAAUUCGUAGAUAUUGGGAAGAACACCGGUGGCGAAGGCGGCCAUCUGGACGGACACUGACGCUGAGGCGCGAAAAGCGUGGGGAGCAAACAGGAUUAGAUACCCUGGUAGUCCACGCCGUAAAACGAUGAAUGCUAGACGUCGGGGUGCAUGCACUUCGGUGUCGCCGCUAACGCAUUAAGCAUUCCGCCUGGGGAGUACGGCCGCAAGGUUAAAAACUU